rnacentral:rRNA from 1 species
UGAAGUAAGUAAGGGCGUACGGUGAAUGCCUUGGUGCCAACAGGCGAAGAAGGACGCGGCAAGCUGCGAAAAGCCUCGGGAAGCUGCAAGCAAGCGAUGAUCCGGGGAUAUCCGAAUGGGGUAACCUGAUCGAGGCAAUACUCGAUCGUUCAUACCUGAAUACAUAGGGUAUGAAACGCGAAACCCGCUGAAGUGAAACAUCUCAGUAAGCGGAGGAAAAGAAAGAGAAAUCGAUUCCGUAAGUAGUGGCGAGCGAAAGCGGAUGGAGCCCAAACCGAAGGUAUUCCUUCGGGGUUGUAGGAUCACGUCAUAUUCGACCAUACUGGAUAGUAGAACAGCCUGGAAAGGCUGGCCGGAGAAGGUGAAAGCCCUGUAGACGAAAUCCAGAGUGGGAAUUAGUGGUAUCCUGAGUAAUACAUCACACGUGGAACGAUGUAUGAACCCGCGCGGACCACCGCGCAAGGCUAAAUACUAGUUGGCGACCGAUAGUGAACAAGUACCGCGAGGGAAAGGUGAAAAGAACCGCUGUGAGCGGAGUGAAAUAGAACCUGAAACCGUAUGUCUACAAAGUGUCAGAGCAGAGCAAUCUGCGAUGGCGUGCCUUUUGUUUAAUGAGUCUGCGAGUCAGUGUUUGUGGCAAGACUAAGGGCUUCCGGCCCGGAGUCGCAGCGAAAGCAAGUCCGAACAGGGCGCAAUAAGUCGCAGGUACUGGACCCGAAGCGGAGGUGACCUACCCUUGGCCAGGUUGAAGCAUGGGUAAAACCAUGUGGAGGACCGAACAGGUGAACGUUGAAAAGUUCUCUGAUGAGCUGAGGGUAGGAGUGAAAGGCUAAUCAAACCCCGUGAUAGCUGGUUCUCUUCGAAAUGCAUUUAGGUGCAGCGUCACGUGCUGAUGCGCGGGGGUAGAGCACUGACAAGGCUAGGGGGCACACCCGCUUACCAAACCUUAUCAAACUCCGAAUACCGUGCAAUGGAACGUGGCAGUGAGACAGUGGGGGAUAAGCUUCAUUGUCGAGAGGGAAACAACCCAGACCAGCAGCUAAGGUGCCUAAAUAACGCUCAGUGGAAAGGAUGUGGGAUUACACAGACAGUGAGGAUGUUGGCUUAGAAGCAGCCACCAUUUAAAAAAUGCGUAAUAGCUUACUCAUCGAGUGAUCCUGCGCCGAAAAUGAUUGGCGAUCAAGCGUUAUACCGAAGCUCUGGACUUUGCCGCAAGGCAGAGUGGUAGAAGAGCGUUGCAUGCGCGUCGAAGGGCGAUGGCGACUGACCCUGGAGCACAUGCAAGUGAGUAUGCAGACAUGAGUAACGUUAAGCCGGGUGAAAUCCCCGGCCGCCGUAAACCCGAGGUUUCCAGGGCAACGUGUUUCGUCCCUGGGUUAGCCGGGACCUAAGCCGAGGCCGAGAGGCGUAGGCGAUGGACAUCAGGUUAAUAAUCCUGAGCUCGCAACCCUUAAACUGGGGGGACGCAUGAGAAAAGAUGACUAGGUUAUUGAAUUCCGAGUUGAGUCCACGGACUCAGCGCAUCAUUGGAUCGAGUGCCAAGAAAAGCCCCAGCGUAUGCUAAGCGACCCGUACCGCAAACCGACACAGGUGGGUGGGUAGAAUAUACCAAGGCGUAAGAGUGAAACCUGGUUAAGGAACUCGGCAAAUUAGCCCCGUAACUUCGGAAGAAGGGGUGCCUGCAGCGAUGCAGGCCGCAGAGAAAUGGCCCAACCGACUGUUUAUCAAAAACACAGCACUCUGCAAAGACGCAAGUCGAAGUAUAGGGUGUGACACGUGACCAAUGCCGAAAGAUUAAGGCAAGGGGUUAGCCGCAAGGCGAAGCUCUAAACCCAAGUCCCGGUGAAUGUCGGCCGUAACUAUAACGGUCCUAAGGUAGCGAAAUUCCUUGUCGGGUAAGUUCCG